rnacentral:rRNA from 1 species
CAACCACCACAGAGAACCAACAGGGAUUGCCUCAGUAACGGCGAGUGAAGCGGCAACAGCUCAAAUUUGAAAUCUGGCCCUCGGGUCCGAGUUGUAAUUUGUAGAGGAUGCUUUUGGCGCGGUGCCUUCCGAGUUCCCUGGAACGGGACGCCUUAGAGGGUGAGAGCCCCGUACGGUUGGACACCAAGCCUCUGUAAAGCUCCUUCGACGAGUCGAGUAGUUUGGGAAUGCUGCUCUAAAUGGGAGGUAAAUUUCUUCUAAAGCUAAAUAUUGGCCAGAGACCGAUAGCGCACAAGUAGAGUGAUCGAAAGAUGAAAAGCACUUUGAAAAGAGGGUUAAAUAGCACGUGAAAUUGUUGAAAGGGAAGCGUUUGCGACCAGACCUUUUCCUGGCGGAUCAUCCGGUGUUCUCACCGGUGCACUUCGCCAGGUCGAGGCCAGCAUCGGUUUCCGCGGGGGGAUAAAAGCUCUGGGAACGUAGCUCCUCCGGGAGUGUUAUAGCCCUCUGCACAAUACCCCCGCGGGGACCGAGGACCGCGCUCUAAGCAAGGAUGCUGGCGUAAUGGUUGUCAACGACCCGUCUUGAAACACGGACCAAGGAGUCGAACAUUUGUGCGAGUGUUUGGGUGUCAAACCCUCACGCGUAAUGAAGGUGAACGUAGGUGAGAGCCCUUACGGGUGCAUCAUCGACCGAUCCUGAUGUCUUCGGAUGGAUUUGAGUAAGAGCAUAACUGUUCGGACCCGAAAGAUGGUGAACUAUGCGUGGAUAGGGUGAAGCCAGAGGAAACUCUGGUGGAGGCUCGCAGCGGUUCUGACCGUGCAAAUCGAUCGUCAAAUCUGCGCAUGGGGGCGAAAGACUUAUCGAACCAUCUAGUAGCUGGUUACCGCCGAAGUUUCCCUCAGAUAGCAGUGUUGUUCUUCAGUUUUAUGAGGUAAAGCGAAUGAUUAGGGACUCGGGGGGCGCUUUUUUGCCUUCAUCCAUUCU